AUUGAACGCUGGCGGAAUGCUUUACACAUGCAAGUCGAACGGCAGCACGGGGGCAACCCUGGUGGCGAGUGGCGAACGGGUGAGUAAUACAUCGGAACGUGCCCAGUCGUGGGGGAUAACGUAGCGAAAGUUACGCUAAUACCGCAUACGAUCUAAGGAUGAAAGCGGGGGAUCGCAAGACCUCGCGCGAUUGGAGCGGCCGAUAUCAGAUUAGGUAGUUGGUGGGGUAAAGGCUCACCAAGCCAACGAUCUGUAGCUGGUCUGAGAGGACGACCAGCCACACUGGAACUGAGACACGGCCCAGACUCCUACGGGAGGCAGCAGUGGGGAAUUUUGGACAAUGGACGCAAGUCUGAUCCAGCCAUUCCGCGUGCAGGAUGAAGGCCCUCGGGUUGUAAACUGCUUUUGUACGGAACGAAAAGGUCUCUCUUAAUACGGGGGGCUCAUGACGGUACCGUAAGAAUAAGCACCGGCUAACUACGUGCCAGCAGCCGCCGUAA
rnacentral:rRNA from 1 species